AUUUUCUCUGGAGUACAAACUUACAUGCACUUAGUCUAGAGGGGGAAGAAGACCCAAAUUGAUGGAGAUUUUCCAUGCCUUGGAACUGUGAAAGUUACAAGAGAAAGGACACCCUACAAGUCUCAGAGCUAAGUUAUCAUAUGCAACUAAUGCCUGAGAGAUAAUUGGCCACUUUAGUUUCAACCUCAAAUGAACUCCCCUGCCUGAGUAAAUUUCCUGGUUUACAGUAUGAACAACCAGCAACAGCAGGAGUUAAUGAAAUCUCUGCUUUCAACUUUCUCACCAUGAAUCUAUAGUGAAGUGUUGGCUCUCAGAUGCUUCUGGGUAAGGCAUGAGGAGAAGUCUAUCCUUGCCUAACUUUGUGUUCUCUGGCCUUCUGAGGACACGAUUUUUUCUAGAGAUUCCCUUAAUUUCCCCCUCAUUUGUGCCAAAGCUGUAAUUCUGAUCACGAGACCCUUCAUUCUCCAUCCCAGCACCUGAUUUUACACAUUAUGCCUUGCAUUUGAAACUGAGUACUGUUACUCUUGGCUAUUUCUGCUUCCUA